rnacentral:rRNA from 1 species
GGGGGGGGGGGGGGGGGGGCGGGGGGGGGGGGGGGGGGGGGGGGGGGGGGGGCGUGGGGGGGGUGGUGGGGUGGCGAGCGGGGGGGUGGCGCGGGAGGCACGGGCGCGGGGCUGUGGGCUGGCUUCGGGAGAGUGGGGCUCAUACCGGAUGGGAGCUCCUGCUGCAUGGUGGGGGUUGGAGCGUUUCGGCGGUUGGGGAUGGACUCGCGGCUUAUCAGCUUGUUGGGUGGGUAGGGGCUUACCAAGGCGUUGACGGGAGGCCGGCCUGAGAGGGUGACAGGCCACAUUGGGACUGAGAUACGGGCCAGACUCCUACGGGAGGCAGCAGUGGGGAAUAUUGCACAAUGGGCGGAAGACGGAUGCAGCAACGCCGCGUGCGGGAUGACGGCCUUCGGGUUGUAAACCGCGUUCGCCUGUGACGAAGCGUGAGUGACGGUAAUGGGUAAAGAAGCACCGGCUAACUACGUG